GUAACUUCCCAAACAACAAAAACUUGUCCCUAGAUGUGGUGACUGUGAGCAGGAGUUAUUUAUAAAUUGUUACAAUGAAUUAGAAAUGUGUAAAAGUGAACUAAUAAUAAAUUUACUUUUGUAACUAAAGCUUGUUUACAAAUAUGUCUUUUGUGGUGAAUUCUGAAAAGACCUUGGCUGGGAACCAUAUAAUUUCCUUGUUUUUAUAACUUCUUUGCCUGUGGUGUAUCUUAAUCUGCUUCUAUGAGGUACUGUAGAUUUUAGAAGAUAGGCAGCCUGGAGGAAGCCAAACUUGCUUUUCCUCUGGGAUAUCAGGCUGGAAAGGAAAGCAAACUGCCUGCCACGCUGCUCGGCUUGUGCCAAGUAAUGCCUUUCAAGAGCUGGCAUGAUCCUUCCAUCUCAUUCACGUGACUUUUCUGUCUCAGACAGGCUACUGGGUGUCUCUUGCGGAAGAGGACACAAGAAAAAACACUGGAUUUCAACAGAAAAGUUGAGAAACCUGAAUUUAAGGUAUGCUAAGGAAAGUGUCACUCUCCUACCUGACAAAUGAAGGGGUUUGUCGAAGUUUAGAAGAGUUUUGAACAACAGUGCAUGGACCUGAAGUCCACGGCCGACUCCUCCUGCAAGCACCCUGCCUGCAGUUGCUUCAACCUUUGGGGUAGGAAGGAGAGUGUGUGUGUGUGUGUGUGUGUGUGAGCCUCAUGAGCUGCAUGAAGUCAAGAGCUGAGAAGCUUCCUGUUUCCUUUUUAAGGCUUAACAGAAUUUGAAAGCAGCCGCUGCUGCGACCUGGACCAAUGAUCUGGGCAGAGAGACGGGGGAGUUUCAGCUCGGCUGCGCCUGGCGCCCGUUACGAAUGCCAGCUUGGCCUUCUCCUCCCCACGUGGAGCACGGGCAAGAAGGGGCUGCCUGCAGGCCACUCCUGAGGGCAGCCAGGCUGAGAUGCAGCUGGACACCCAGUGUCUGCUCUUCCAGCAAGCGAGGGUCUCUGCCUAUUCCUGCCCCUGGGACACAUGAGCAGGGAUGUGGAUGCAGGAGUGAUGCUCUUGAGGCAAUUUCUUCUGGCUCUCUUGGAGGAAAGUCCAUGGCGCAAGCCAUUGGACCAUAAAUCUUCUGUGUCCCAAGGAAGGAGGUUACAGAAAGACCGAUCCAGCAACUGAGCUAAAU
rnacentral:lncRNA from 1 species